rnacentral:lncRNA from 1 species
CCGCCAUCAAUGACCUCAAUGCAAAUACAAGUGGGGUGGUACUUCUGGAUACUCCAUGUUCUGGACGCAAGUGAUGACACAGACUUUCUGGGGCUCACAUCCUUCCCCUCAUUGGUUAACGGGAGCUCCUGGAACUCCCCUAGACCCAAAGCAGCGGGAAUAAAAGCAGCUGCUGGUGCUGGGAGGAUUCAGAGGCACCNNAGUGUCUCUGCCACUUCUGCCAGAGUGCCAUCGCCUGCCGCCAAAGCUACCGCUGCUGCUCCUUCCUCUGCUACCAGUCCCCUGGUGCUGACUGCCAGGUAUGAAGGAAAGUCCAGCACUAGGAGAACAGCUCUGGAUUACCCAAGAGGAAAAGCUGUGGUGACAGGUACUCUCAGUCUGUCCUCCAGGAGUCCUGGGCAACAGGUUGUAUGUGAGAGUGAGUGAGGUACAUGUGUCAAAACUGAGAGAUCACUAAAAGAGCCCCCAUACCACAACUAAAUAUCCCUCAUGCUACCGCAGAGAUCAAAGACUCUGCAUGCUGCAAUUAAAACCUGGCACAGCCAAAUAAAAAAAAUAAAGACAAAUAUUUUAAAUAAGUUAUAUAGAAGUGUAUUUUAAAAUUUAAAUUAGCUUUUAAAACUAUACUUCACUUAUUCAGUUCUAGGUUUUGCACUGAGAUUUAAGAAAGUGUGUGUACUGUGCUUAGUCAUGUUGAUUCUUUGUGACCCCAUGAACUGUAGCCCAACAGGUUCCUCUGUCCAUGGAACUUUUCAGGCAAGAAUACUGGAGGGAGUUGAGUUGCCAUUUCCUACUCCAGGGUAUCUUCCCAGCCCAGGGAUUGAAUCUAAGUCUCUUGAGUAUCUUGCAUUGGCAGGCAGAUUCUUUGCACUGUGCCAUCUGGCAAGUCCUCAUAAUACAGUUGAUCUUAGUCAAAAGACUGAGAAACGAGAAAGUAGUAUCCAUUAAUUUUUGACUUGUGAAACUGAGAUUUUCUAUGAGGUUUAUCAUAUGAUCCUUACCCAUAAAUGACUAAAAAUAUCUGAAAAUGAAGUAUUUUCCCUCAGGUAUAAAAUUUGGAAGCUAUAUCUGUCUGCAUAUAUAUCUUUGUUUACAUGUAAUUCAAGUGAUUAUGUUACUCAUACAUAUUCUUUUUGUCUGAGUACAGGGCAAUAAAGUUUCCAAGUAUUAUUCAAUCUCUGUGAAACAUCCCUUGCAAUUCUAGAAAUUGUUAAGUUUACAUAUUUUGAACUUUUUUCUUAUUUUAAAAUUCAAGUUACAUGAGGUAUAGAUUCCAUGGGCAUGAUGUAUGAUCAUCUAGCUUGCUCUGCACAUCCUUAACAGUGCUUGGUAUUUUUAGUCUUUUAAUUUUAGCUAUUCUUAUGACUCUAAAAUAGUAUCUCACUGUACAUUUUAAUUUUUGUGUCCCUAAUGACUAGUGAAAAUUAAAUAUCUUCUUAUGUGUUUAUUGGUUGUUUAUCUUCUUUGGUGUAAUUUUUGUUCAAAUCCUUUGUCCAUAUUUUAUUGGGCAGCUUUUUUUUCUCUUAUUCUUGAGUUGUAGGAAAUCUUUCAUAUUCUAGAUGGUAUAUAUUACAGAAUAUUACAGUCAUAAAAAGAAUGAAAUGCUACAUUAGCAGAAACAUGGUUGGAUCUAGAGAUUAUCAUAUUAAUACCAAGUGAAUUCAGACAAAGAUAAAUACCAUGUGACAUUGCUUACAUGUGGAAUCUUAAAAAAAAUGUUACAAAGGACCAUACUAACAGAAUAGAUCCACAGACAUAGAAAGCAAACUUAUGGUUACCAAAGGGGAAAGGUUAGAGUGAAAUCAGGAGUUUGGGAUUAACAUAUAUAUAAUGCUAUAUAUAAAAGAGAUAAUCAACAAAGACAUACUGUAUAGUACAGUGAACUCUACUCAAGAUUCUAUAAUAGCCUAUAUGAGAAAAUAAUUAGAAAAAUAAUAGAUAUAUGUAUAUGUACUACUGAAUCACUUUGUUGUACCCCUGAAACUAACACAACACUGUAAAUAAACUAUAUUGCAAUAUAAAAUAAAAAUUAAAAAAUGAAAUAAGUGAAUUCUCUGGCUCCAUUUGAGCCUAGAGAUGACCACANNNNNNNNNNNNNNNNNNNNNNNNNNNNNNNNNNNNNNNNNNNNNNNNNNNNNNNNNNNNNNNNNNNNNNNNNNNNNNNNNNNNNNNNNNNNNNNNNNNUGUCCAUGGAAUUCUCCAGGCAAGAAUCCUGGAGCGGGUUGCCAUUUCCUG